CCGGGCUCGCUGAACAGGCGGGUCAGCAUGGUGGCCUGAAGAGUUGGGGGAGGGGGAAAGACAGACACAGACACAGAGCUCCAGCUCCUUCCUCCAGGCCAACACCGGCUCUGUCCUCGGACUCCCGGCUUCAGGGCUCGGGGAGUCUCGGACAGGGGAACCGGGGUCCACAUUACGAAGCCAGGAAAACAAACCCUUCUCGUCACCCCAGCGUCCAAAGACACCCGGGACAUCCCUAAACCUCGCCGCCCACCGAAUGGCUCCCCGAAUCUCGUUAUAUUUGGGAUUUGGAGCGGGGGCAGCGGCUCCUCAAGGCGGCGGGCGCCGGCGUCUUCAGAGCGCCAUGCGAAGCGGGGAGCGAGUGUGGCAUCUCUACCAGGCGGGGGUACCAGCCUCUAUGCCAGGGCCAUAUGGGCUUGGCACGUCACGGGCAGCAGCUAUCACAUGAGAGACGGUGAUUGGCAUGCGUCUGCAUUGGGGGAGAGCCGGCUCCCCCGGGACCAGCCGCCAUCUGUCACUCUCUA